GACGAACGCUGGCGGCGUGCCUAACACAUGCAAGUCGAGCGGAGACAUUUGGCUUCGGUUAAUGUUUUAGCGGCGGACGGGUGAGUAACGCGUGAGCAACCUUUCUCUCAGUGGGGAAUAACACAGGGAAACUUGUACUAAUACCGCAUGAGACCACGACCUGGCAUCAGGAUGGGGUCAAAGAUUAAUCGCUGAGAGGUGGGCUCGCGUCUGGAUUAGAUAGUUGGUGGGGUAACGGCCUACCAAGGCGACGAUCAGUAGCCGGUCUGAGAGGAUGAACGGCCACAUUGGGACUGAGAUACGGCCCAGACUCCUACGGGAGGCAGCAGUGGGGGAUACUUGCACAAUGGGGGGAAACCCUGAUGCAGCAACGCCGCGUGAGUGAAGAAGUAUUUCGGAUGUAAAAGCUCUAUCAGCA
rnacentral:rRNA from 1 species